rnacentral:lncRNA from 1 species
AUUCAAUCGAACAAAGAGUAAAACCUAAUUAUCUUGUUUUAUUUUGCCUCGAGAGGGUAAAUUUCGAACGAAUCGAUGUCAACGUUCACAAGAACCAAAGCCGGAACAACACUAGACUACUUAGUUGCGCCCUAACAGUAUAACUUUGCAACGAGUACUUUUUCUCAUUCAAUCGAACAAAGAGUAAAACCUAAAUUAUCUUGUUUUAUUUUGCCUCGAGAGGGUAAAUUUCGAACGAAUCGAUGUCAACGUUCACAAGAACCAAAGCCGGAACAACACUAGACUACUUAGUUGCGCCCUAACAGUAUAACUUUGCAACGAGUACUUUUUCUCAUUCAAUCGAACAAAGAGUAAAACCUAAAUUAUCUUAUUCUAUUUUGCCUCGAGAGGGUAAAUUUCGAACGAAUCGAUGUCAACGUUCACAAGAACCAAAGUCGGAACAACAUUAGACCACUCAGUUGCGCCAUAACAGUAUAACUUUGCAGCGAGUACUUUUUCUCAUUCAAUCGAACAAAGUGUAAAACCAAAUUAUAUUAUUCUAUUAUGCCCCGAGAGUGUAAAGUUGCAUCGAAUCGAUAUUAACAUUCACAGGAACCAAAACCGGAACAACAUUAGACUCCUCACUUGCGCCCUAACAGUACAUGUCACGCCCCGGGACCGAUACCAAUUUGGCCCGACCCGAGCACGUCAAACAGACGCCGAACGGACAGAGCUUCCCCUAUCCGCCCAAGGCUCAUCACAUGUACAUUUUCAUCAAUAGAGAAAAGCACUAGCGGAAACAUACACAAACGGCUUACACGAGGGUAAGCAAUAGCCAUUAGUGAAAGAAAGGAAAACUAAACAUUCGAUUGUAGUACGAUUCAAUUUAGAUCAUAUACAUACAUCCAACCUGUAAUUUUUCGAAAUCCUUACAUUCUGUUUCAUCAUUUCUUUCUUACAUCACAUUUACCUCAAAAUACACAUUACAUUCUUUUCUUUACAUCAUUUACCAUCAUAUACAAAGAUGAUCAUAGGGUACUUUACUACAAAAUGAAAACCCGACUUUGGUGGCCUCUGACUAAGGCGCGAUACCUUUACCUCGGUCACUCGCCGGCUCGCUCGGUCCCGGCUCUGUGAAAAUAGUGGGGUGAGAACUACAACAAAGUUCCC